rnacentral:lncRNA from 1 species
UAUUAGCCCAGAAACAUCGAAUAUACAAGAUACAAUUUGCAAAACACAAGAAAAUCAAGAAGAAGGAAGUCCAAAGUGUGGAUCCUUCAUUCCUCCUUAGAGUAGGGAACAAAAUACCCAUGAAAGGAGUUACAGAGACAAAGUUGGAGCUGAGACGAAAGGAUAGACCAUUCAGAGAUUACUUCACCCAGGGAUCCAUCCAGACACUAUUGCAUACUCCACCAAGAUUUUGCUGAAAGGACCCUGAUAUAGCUGUCUCUUUUGAGGCUAUGCCAGUGCCUGGCAAACACAGAAGUGGAUGCUCACAGUCAUCUAUAGGAUGGAACUCAGGGCCCGGAAUGGAGGAGCUAGAGUAAGUAUCGAAGCAGCUAAAGGGGUCUGCAACCUUAUAGGUGGAACAACAAUAUGAAAUAACCGGUACACCCCGGAGCUCAUGUCUCUAACUGUAUAUGUAGAAGAUGGCCUAGUCCACCAUCAUUGGGAAGAGAGGUCCCUUGGUAUUGCAAACUUUAUAUGCCCCAGUACAUGGGAAUGCCAGGGCCAAAAAGUGGGAGUGUGUGGGUAGGGGAGCAGGGUGGAGGGAGGGUAUAGGGAACUUUCAGGAUAGCAUUUUUAAUAUAAAUAAAGAAAAUAUCUAAUUUAAAAAGGCAAAAAAUAAAGAUACAAAAUAAAUACUAAAUAAAUAAAUAAAUAAAGUACCAUUAUGAAAAU